rnacentral:rRNA from 1 species
AUGAGGUUUGAAACUUUCGAAGAAACUAAGAACUUCUACAACGUAUAUGCAAAGCACGCUGGUUUUGCUGUCAGGGAAGGCCCCAAGUUUAAGACCAGAGCCUACCUUUAUUGCACGUGCCAUGGAGUUUAUGAAUCAAAGGUGUCUGAAACAAAUAGACAGCGGAACAAAACGACAGCCAGGACUGACUACAGGGCUAAAAUGAGGCUGAAGAUUGAAAAGGAUGGAACACUUGUCGUAAAAGAGAUAGUCUGGGAACACAACCACAGGCUACAGCUCACUCCACAAAUGCUUGUCUUCUUGCACUCCCACAAAAAUUUUGACAAAACAAUCUUGGAGUACGUCAAGUACCUGCAGUUCAAAGGCAUUGAACACGCGCAAAUCAUGAGCAUUCUGGGCGGUGAUGACCCUGGUAGCUACUUCCUCGAAAUGAAUGCCAAAGACCUGAUUAACAUGAAAGCAAAGAAUUCAAGGAUUGAUGAUGUGGAUGAUGUCCUAAAGACUGUCAACUUCUUUAGGGAGAUGAAAGCUAUAAACAGGGAAUUCUUCUGUGACAUGCAACUCGAUGAGUCCGACAGAGUUAAGAACAUAUUCUGGGCGAACGCAAGCUGCCGAGGCGCAUAUCAGGACUUCGGUGACUGCGUAACAUUUGACACCACGUACAAGACCAACAAGUACCAUAUGCCACUUGGGGUGUUUGUCGGUACUAACAACCACUUACAGACUACAUUCUUUGGUUUCGCCCUGAUAAGAGAUGAGGAUGCAGAAUCAUUCAGAUGGUUGUUCAAGACGUUUUUAAGGUGCAUGAGAGGGAAGGCUCCUACAUGCAUCCUCACAGACCAGUGCCAGGCAAUGGCUUUGGCGAUCGCAGAUGUUUUCAAGAACACAAUACAUAAGCUAUACCGCUGGCACAUUACGAAGAAGUACAGGGAACACCUCGCGUACCUAUAUUUCCUGCACGAGGACCUUAAGGAUGAAUUCACAUCAAUUCUCAACUGGCCCCUCAUGCCAACUGAGUUUGAGGAUGCCUGGAAAAGACUCAUGGAUAAGUACAACCUCCAUGAUGAUGCCACAAUGGUGGGCAUGUGGAACGAGCAUGAGAAAUGGAUAUCAGCCUACUUCAAAGAAAUUUUCUGCGCCAAAAUGACAUCCACACAGCGAAGUGAGAGCAUGAACUAUGUGCUCAAGAAGAACUACGUAAAUGAGAGACAUAACCUACACCGAUUUGUCAGCCAGAUAAACUCCUGCGUCAAAAGCAGGAGGCAGACAGAGAACCAGGAGACAAUGGGUAACCGGACGGAACAAAACACGCUGACCUUCUAUGGGUUUGACACCCAGAUGGCAAAGCUGUACACGCGAGUUGUGUACAGCGAGAUCAGAGAUAGGCUAAAACUGAGCACUCUCUUCACGGCGAUAGAGACGGAAGAGCCCACAAAGUACCUAGUGCGCUACAACCACCCGCAAAAACUGUCUGUGUAG